GUAAAAUGGUCAGAGUUUGGGUGGGGGCUAAAGCUUAAGAUGAUUCUUAUAGCAUUGCACACGGUCAGUGUGAACCAGAGUGACUUGACACAACAAAUGGCCAAGCAAAUUGUACAUACAAAACGGAAACGACACAGGAAAACGACUUUAGCUAUCUAUGAUAAUCGCAUCAGUAGAAUAUGCCUGACUCUCCUCCACCAGUCAUACAAAGAGAAUGGUCUAAUGCCGCCCCUCAAAAAGAGAGCUGGCCCAAGCAAGCACAGGUUACACCUGAAGCAUGAGGACUUGCAGUGAGUAGUGAACUUCAUCAACAACUACGUAGAGUUGACCCCGCCCUGUGCAACUGGGUCCUGGACUUUCUGGCGGGCCACCGCCAGGUGGUGAGGGUAGGAAACAACAUCUUCACCCCGCUGAUCCUCAACACUGGGGCCCCAAAAGGGUGCGUUCUCAGCCCUUUCCUGUACUCUCUGUUCACCCAUGACUGCAUUGCCAUGCACGCUUCCAACUCAAUCAUCAAUUUUGCAGAUGACACUACAGUGGUAGGCUUGAUUACCAACAACUACAGGGAGGAGGUGAGGGCCCUCGGAGUGUGGUGUCAGGAAAAGAACCUCUCACUUAACGUCAACAAAACAAAGGAGAUGAUCGUGGACUUCAGGAAACAGCAGAGGGAGCACCUCCCCAUCCACGGGACAGUAGUGGAGAAGGUGGAAAGUUAAGUUCUUCGGUGUACACAUCACGGACAAACUGAAAUGGUCCACCCACACAGACAGUGUGGUGAAGAAGGUGCAACAGCGCCUCUUCAACCUCAGGAGACUGAAGAAAUGUGGCUUGUCAUCUAAAACACUCAAACUUUUACAGAUGCACAAUUGAGAGCAUCCUGCCGGGCUCUAUCACCGCGUGGUACAGCAAUUGCACCGCCCACAACCGCAAGGCUCUCCAGAGGGUAGUGCGGUCUGCACAACGCAUCACCGGGGGCAAAUUACCUGCCCUCCAGGAGACCUACAGCACCUGAUGUCACAGAAAGGCCAAAAAGAUCAUCAAGGACAACAACCACCUGAGCCACUGCCACAGAAGGCGAGGUGCACUAUCCUCCUGACCCUAUGCAGCUGUGACAGGUGUCAACAUCCCACAGCUGGUUGGACUGGAGGAUGAUAUGGUGCUGGUGGAAAGCUGAGGCUGGCAACAACACCUGACUCCGUACUUCAGGCCGCUGCCACAGAUCAAGCAGUACCAGCACUUCAGGAGCGUUCGAACUCAGUCGGGACCAGGUUUCAGCUGCUGCGCAAUGAUGACAUCCAUCCUCCCAUAUAUGGUCUGCCUGUACAAACACCACCAGGACUGAACACAGCUAGACAAACAUAUAUUUUUGAGAAGAUCAGGGAGUUUUGCGACGAAGAGGCUAUGGACAUCACAUGCCCUGCACCAAAGUCAAGGGCAGGACAGAAACAGGCUCUCCGAAUAUAGAUUCCCUUGUUCAUGUGUGGUUUGGACGGACCAGUCAUCAGCACUAUCUGCAAUGCCUCUAUUCAAAUGACUCUCUCCUAACACACAUGCCAUACGUUCCUGCUACUAUUUCUUGUUUUAUUCCUGCUGUUCAGCCACUUUACCACUGAUUGUAUGCAUACAAUUACCUCGUCUAUCACUGAUAUCAUUAUUCAUAUUGUUCUUGUACAUACUGUAUAUUAUUUUACUUAUAUUGACACUAUUUCUGAUAUUGCUACUAUACAAGUAACCAUUUGGCUGUACCGUUUACACCUUCUGUAGAGACCCAUCCACUUAGCAAGAUGUGGCCAGUUGUGUAAAGUACUAAAGUAAAAAUACUUAAUGUUUUGGGGAGGGUAUCUGUACUUUACCAUUUAUAUUUGUUGCAACGUUUACUUUUACUUCACUACAUUCUGAAAUAAAAUAAUGUACUUUUUACUCCAUAUAUUUCCCUGACACCUGACACCCAAAAGUACUUUACAUUUUGACAGGAAAAUUGUCCAAUUCAAACUUAUCAAGAGAAAAUCCCUGGUCAUCCCUACUGCAUCUGAUCUGGCAGACUCACUAAACACAAAUGCUUAAUUUGUAAAUUACGCCUGCGUUUUGGAGUGUGCCCCUGGCUAUCCGUCAAUAAAAAAUAAAAAUGCCGUCUGGUUUGCUUUAUAUAAUGAAUUUGAAAUGAUUUAUACUUUUGAUACUUAAGUAUCAAAAGUAAAUGGAAUCGCUAAAAUGUACUUAAGUAUUUUUUUUAAACCAAAUAUUUUUACUCAAGUAGUAUUUUACUGGGUGACUUUUACUUUUACUUGAGUCAUUUUCUAUUAAGGUAUAUUUACUUUUACUCAAGUAUGACAAUUUUGUUAUUUUUCCACCACUGGAUGUGGCUCGGGUUAUAGCAUUUCUUUCACAUGACCCAUCAAUUUAGACAAGUGUGUCUGGGUAAGCGUCAUCUAAUAUUUAUUAAAUAUUUUU
rnacentral:lncRNA from 1 species